GUUUCCAUGUGUGGAAAUGUUUUUCUCAUGAUUACAUCCUUUGUCUUCUCCCAGGUCCAUUAUCAUGAAGAAGUGAAACGCGUGGUAGGAGAACCCAUGCAGCUUGCACAGAAAUUUUGGAAGUUUGAUCUCGACAAACCCUAGGAAGCGGUCCCAGUCCACCUGAAGGAAACCUGUAGAGUGAAGAAAAAGAAAACCACCGUCCAUUGCUGUUAUAACUUACGGAUGAGUAUGCAAUGAGCUUAAGGCCACUGGUGGCAUUCUGUGCGGCUGCCGUUAUAUUCUCCAGGAUCUGUGCCACCAAGACUCCUAAAAAAAAAAUGCUCAGUUAGCUAUGAAGAAUGACUUACCUCCAGGAUGGUGGACAUUAAAGAACAGAGAGUGGAGACUUCAUAAGGUUUUGUAUGCAGUUUUAUAUGCAUAAUGUUUUCGUUUACAUAUUAUGUACAUUUUUUGGGUCAGAUACAUAUGUACUUUUCAUAAGCGUUGCGUUUCCUAUUUUUUUGGGUAAGAGUUUGGCUUAAGAGGAGUUGUAAAGCCUCAAGGUUUUUCACCUUCAUGCAUUAAGUUGAAAAACCUUCUGUGCUGCAGCUGCCCCCCAGAGCCCACCUUUUUUUUACCCGAACCAGAUCGUUACAGCGCCGAGCACGAGCCCAGCGGCUCCAGCCACUGUCUCCAUCCUCAUUAGAUAGACUGAUAGCAGCAGGAGCCAUUGUCCCCCGCUGCCGUCAAUCAAAUCCAGUGACAAACGCAGCAGUGCCCCCAGGGACUGCGGGACUCCGUGGUGGCACCCGAUGAAGAGCAGGAGUGCCGACAGGACACCCCAGAAGUGGAGGAUCAGGGCGGCUCUGUGCAAAACCCUUACCCGUAUAACAUGUUUUAUUUUUUCAAUAUUUUUAUUGAAUUCAAGUUUAAGAGGUACAAACAAGGUAAUGGAGGUUCAUGGAUUACAUCAGAUGAACAAGUAUAUGCAAAAUGGCGAUUUUUUUUUUUAAAUAACAAACAACCUUUACAAAUCACUUUAAUACGUUUUGAAUCACUUCUAGGAGUUGGCUAGCAACUCAUUUAGGACCAAUUGUUUUUGUAUGUUUACAUACUAGAUUUGAUUGUGCAGAUUAAAUAUUCGUACACUCAAUAAGAUUGCCUGUCCAUUCCCAAAAGCUGUACAAGGGGGUUUUCCCUUUAAAACGAAUGGUCUGACCUCACGUAUUGGCACUUCCCCACAAGCUCACAGACCAGCUGCAGGCACCAAGAUUUGACAGCCAACACAGGUUUAGCGGGCCUAACCAGAUCACAGCAGCUGCCUUUGGCUGGUAUUACAUGGCUGCUCUGUGAAUGUCAUCUAUGAUGCAAACCACAUACUUCAAUGUAAAUGUGCUAUUGUUUUUAUUCCAAUAAAAUGUAUUUACCUUUCUAACUGA